UACGAAGGGGGCUAGCGUUGCUCGGAAUGACUGGGCGUAAAGGGCGCGUAGGCGGAUGGCUUUGUCGGGCGUGAAAUUCCAGGGCUUAACCUUGGGGCUGCGUUCGAGACGGGUUGUCUUGAGUGGGGAAGAGGGUCGUGGAAUUCCCAGUGUAGAGGUGAAAUUCGUAGAUAUUGGGAAGAACACCGGUGGCGAAGGCGGCGACCUGGUCCUUUACUGACGCUGAGGCGCGAAAGCGUGGGAGCAAACAGG
rnacentral:rRNA from 1 species